rnacentral:lncRNA from 1 species
UAACCAACGACAUGGAUCAAGUGUAGGUAUGUAGCAUGGAAAUAACAUAAAGUGUGGUCAAUAGAAUGUCUAUUUCCAACUGGUUCUCUUUAUUGAGACAAUCAUAAACUGUAAGAGUACCAAAAAACUUUAAAACUGAAUAUCAGCGCAGAUAUAAUUGAAUUACUGAAUUUCUGAAUAUAAUGGACAAUACAUAAAUGUACAAUAAAAACUCCCACUAAAAUACAUAAUCCUUAUCUGAUUUGAUACCCAUACAAGCAAU